rnacentral:rRNA from 1 species
UGGCGGCACUAGCGCGGUGGUCCCACCUGACCCCAUGCCGAACUCAGAAGUGAAACGCCGUAGCGCCGAUGGUAGUGUGGGGUCUCCCCAUGUGGAGAGUAGGGAACUGCCAGGCA